AGAGUUUGAUCCUGGCUCAGGAUGAACGCUAGCUACAGGCUUAACACAUGCAAGUCGAGGGGAAACGACAUCGAAAGCUUGCUUUUGAUGGGCGUCGACCGGCGCACGGGUGAGUAACGCGUAUCCAACCUGCCCAUCACUUGGGGAUAACCUUGCGAAAGUAAGACUAAUACCCAAUGAUAUCUCUAGAAGACAUCUGAAAGAGAUUAAAGAUUUAUCGGUGAUGGAUGGGGAUGCGUCUGAUUAGCUUGUUGGCGGGUAACGGCCCACAAGGCUACGAUCGAGUAGGGGUUCUGAGAGGAACGGUCCCCCANAUUGGAACUGGAGACACGGUCCAAAACUCCUACGGGAGCA
rnacentral:rRNA from 1 species